UACGAAGGGGGCUAGCGUUGUUCGGAAUCACUGGGCGUAAAGCGCACGUAGGCGGAUUUUUAAGUCAGGGGUGAAAUCCCGAGGCUCAACCUCGGAACUGCCUUUGAUACUGGAGAUCUUGAGUCCGGAAGAGGUAAGUGGAACUGCGAGUGUAGAGGUGAAAUUCGUAGAUAUUCGCAAGAACACCAGUGGCGAAGGCGGCUUACUGGUCCGGAACUGACGCUGAGGUGCUAAAGCGUGGGGAGCAAACAGG
rnacentral:rRNA from 1 species